GGUCACUGCUAUUGGGGUUCGGCUAAGCCAUGCGAGCGGAGGGCGCGGUCGAAAGAUCGUGGCCCCGCACACGGCUCAGUAACACGUAGUCAACCUACCCUUGGGACGGGGACAACCUCGGGAAACUGAGGCUAAUUCCCGAUAGGCGAGGGACGCUGGAAUGCCUCCUCGCCCAAAGCUCCGGCGCCCGAGGAUGGGACUGCGGCCUAUCAGGCUGUUGGUGGUGUGACGGACCACCAAACCUACGACGGGUACGGGCGAUGGGAGUCGGAGCCCGGAGAUGGGGACUGAGACAAGGCCCCAGGCCCUACGGGGCGCAGCAGGCGCGAAAACUCCGCAAUGCGCGCAAGCGUGACGGGGGGAUCCCCAGUGCCGUUGGCUUUUGAUCGACGGCUUUUCGGAAGUCCAAGAAGCUUCCGGAAUAAGGGCUGGGUAAGACUGGUGCCAGCCGCCGCGGUAACACCAGCAGCCCAAGUGGUGACCACGAUAUUGGGCCUAAAGCGCUCGUAGCCGGAUCAGCAAGUCCUUUGUGAAAUCGGGCCGCCCAACGGUUCGGCGUGCAAAGGAUACUGUUGGUCUUGAGACCGGGAGAGGUCGGAGGUACUCUUGGGGUAGCGAUGAAAUGCUGUAAUCCUGGGGGGACCACCGGUGGCGAAGGCGUCCGACCAGAACGGAUCUGACGGUGAGGGGCGAAGGCUAGGGGAGCGAACGGGAUUAGAUACCCCGGUAGUCCUAGCUGUAAAGCAUGCGGGCCAGGUGUCUAGCGCUCCUUGAGGGCGCUAUGUGCCGGAGGGAAGCCGUUAAGCCCGCCGCCUGGGAAGUACGGCCGCAAGGCUGAAACUUAAAGAAAUUGGCGGGGGAGCACCACAAGGGGUGGACCUGCGGUUCA
rnacentral:rRNA from 1 species